GACGAACGCUGGCGGCGUGCUUAACACAUGCAAGUCGAACGGUAAGGCCCUUCGGGGUACACGAGUGGCGAACGGGUGAGUAACACGUGGGUGAUCUGCCCUGCACUUCGGGAUAAGCCUGGGAAACUGGGUCUAAUACCGGAUAGGACUCCGGACUGCAUGGUCUGGGGUGGAAAGCUUUUGCGGUGUGGGAUGGGCCCGCGGCCUAUCAGCUUGUUGGUGGGGUGAUGGCCUACCAAGGCGACGACGGGUAGCCGGACUGAGAGGGUGACCGGCCAGACUGGGACUGAGAUACGGCCCAGACGCCUACGGGUGGCAGCAGUGGGGAAUAUUGCACAAUGGGCGCAAGCCUGAGGCAGCGGCGCCGCGUGAGGGAUGACGGCCUUCGGGUUGUAAACCUCUUUCAGCAUCGACUAAGCGAAAGUGACGUUAGGUGCAGAAGAAGGACCGGCCAACUACGUGCCAGCAGCCGCCGUAA
rnacentral:rRNA from 1 species